rnacentral:rRNA from 1 species
GGCUGAAAUUCGCCUUCAUGAAGCCGGAAUUGCUAGUAAUGGCAGGUCAGCAUACUGCCGUGAAUACGUUCCCGGGCCCUUGUACACACCGCCCGUCACACCAUGAGAGUUGGGAAUACCCGAAGCCUGUGAGCUAACGAAAGAGGCAGCAGUCGAAGGUAGAAUCAAUGAUUGGGGUGAAGUCGUAACAAGGUAUC